CCCUUAGAUGUCCUGGGCCGCACGCGCGCUACACUGAUGCAUGCAACGAGUUUAUAACCUUGGCCUGAAAGGUCUGGGUAAUCUUUUGAACGUGCAUCGUGAUAGGGAUAGAUUAUUGCAAUUGUUAAUCUUGAACGAGGAAUUCCUAGUAAACGCGAGUCAUCAGCUCGCAUUGAUUACGUCCCUGCCCUUUGUACACACCGCCCGUCGCACCUACCGAUUGAAUGGUUCGGUGAAGAUCUCGGACUUCGAUAUUUAUUCUUUAUUGAGUGUAUAUUGUGGGAAGUUAUCUAAACCUCAUCAUUUAGAGGAAGGUGAAGUCGUAACA
rnacentral:rRNA from 1 species